GACGAACGCUGGCGGCGUGCUUAACACAUGCAAGUCGAACGGAAAGGCCCUGCUUUUGUGGGGUGCUCGAGUGGCGAACGGGUGAGUAACACGUGAGUAACCUGCCCUUGACUUUGGGAUAACUUCAGGAAACUGGGGCUAAUACCGGAUAGGAGCUCCUGCUGCAUGGUGGGGGUUGGAAAGUUUCGGCGGUUGGGGAUGGACUCGCGGCUUAUCAGCUUGUUGGUGGGGUAGUGGCUUACCAAGGCUUUGACGGGUAGCCGGCCUGAGAGGGUGACCGGCGACAUUGGGACUGAGGUACGGCCCAGACUCCUACGGGAGGCAGCAGUGGGGAAUAUUGCACAAUGGGCGGAAGCCUGAUGCAGCAACGCCGCGGGCGGGAUGACGGCCUUCGGGUUGUAAACCGCUUUCGCCUGUGACGAAGCGUGAGUGACGGUAAUGGGUAAAGAAGCACCGGCUAACUACGUG
rnacentral:rRNA from 1 species